rnacentral:rRNA from 1 species
AUUGAACGCUGGCGGCAGGCUUAACACAUGCAAGUCGAGCGGAGAGAGGUAGCUUGCUACUGAUCUUAGCGGCGGACGGGUGAGUAAUGCUUAGGAAUCUGCCUAUUAGUGGGGGACAACAUUUCGAAAGGAAUGCUAAUACCGCAUACGUCCUACGGGAGAAAGUAGGGGAUCUUCGGACCUUGCGCUAAUAGAUGAGCCUAAGUCGGAUUAGCUAGUUGGUGAGGUAAAGGCCUACCAAGGCGACGAUCUGUAGCGGGUCUGAGAGGAUGAUCCGCCACACUGGGACUGAGACCCGGCCCAGACUCCUACGGGAGGCAGCAGUGGGGAAUAUUGGACAAUGGGCGGAAGCCUGAUCCAGCCAUGCCGCGUGUGUGAAGAAGGCCUUAUGGUUGUAAAGCACUUUAAGCGAGGAGGAGGCUACUUUAGUUAAUACCUAGAGAUAGUGGACGUUACUCGCAGAAUAAGCACCGGCUAACUCUGUGCCAGCCGCCGCGGUAA